rnacentral:rRNA from 1 species
GGCUCAUCACAUCCUGGGGCUGAAGUAGGUCCCAAGGGUAUGGCUGUUCGCCAUUUAAAGUGGUACGCGAGCUGGGUUUAGAACGUCGUGAGACAGUUCGGUCCCUAUCUGCCGUGGGCGCUGGAGAACUGAGGGGGGCUGCUCCUAGUACGAGAGGACCGGAGUGGACGCAUCACUGGUGUUCGGGUUGUCAUGCCAAUGGCACUGCCCGGUAGCUAAAUGCGGAAGAGAUAAGUGCUGAAAGCAUCUAAGCACGAAACUUGCCCCGAGAUGAGUUCUCCCUGACCCUUUAAGGGUCCUGAAGGAACGUUGAAGACGACGACGUUGAUAGGCCGGGUGUGUAAGCGCAGCGAUGCGUUGAGCUAACCGGUACUAAUGAACCGUGAGGCUUAACCUUACAACGCCGAAGGUGUUU